rfam:Eubacterium sp. CAG:86 genomic scaffold, scf38
UGAUAGCGUAGAAGCGUGAGGUUGCUGCCGCAAGGCAGGUUUUCCGUGGAGCGAAUGUCAAGGCCGGUAUUAACCGGCAGAUGAACCUGGCGACAA